GACCCCAGCCUCCCCCCCACCAAGAGAAAUGGAAUCUAGGUGUAACAGUGACCAUGGCAAAUGGCACUGAGCACCUGAGCUGUCACAUGAGUCUCUGCCAUUGGAUAAAGCUUUCAUUGCAUUGGUGGAGAGAGGUCAGACACAUGAGCUAUGUCCAUGUGCCUGGGUCCUGGGGCAACAGCCCUAAAACAGGAAGUGGGGAGUGUGUACAAGUCAGGUGGAAGCUUUUAGUCACUGCUCUUAGCACUGCUGCUCCAUCAUGCCCGCCUGCCUACCGCCAUGCUACCCACCAUGAUGGUCAUGGUCUCCAUCUCUGGAACGAAACUCCUGUCUCAAGUUUGUAUGGAUAAAAAAAGGGGGAAGUGGCCCCUGAUGUGAAAGCUCUACCACAAGGGUGGGACCCAGUGAAGGACGCUGCUGGAAGUGGAACACUCAGGAAAAGUGAAAAUGUUGGCAGACUGGUGACCAGAGCUCACUCUCGCCCCUCCCUUCUCCGGUGGCUGCACAACACAGAGGACCACUGCAGACAUAGGUGAGUUAUGAUCCAACCCAGCAGGUUAGGGUCUAAGAAAAAGUAUUGGAGAUUGAUAAAUGCAAGUGAUAAAGGCUAGAGAAUGUAAACGAACUUGGAUGAUGAUGAUUUAGAAAUAAGAAAUGCUACAGAUGAAGGAUGUUUAAGGUUGGUAAGUGCAGUUUAUACAUGCUGGCACUGUCUAAGAAGAUGUUUUAAGAAUAUAAAUGCAAGUUAUAGAGAUGUAAGAAAUAAUUGAAACUGGGACAUGUUUCAUAGUCCUCCAACAUGCUAAUCUUAUUUCAAAGUUCAAAUUUUUAACAUUGAUCAAUGGAGUUCUGAUACCUUAAUGGGACAUUGACAAUUGAUAAUUCAGUCACAAGCUUAAGAUGUUAAUGUCCCUUUGGUUGUCUUCUGAAUAUAGACUUAAAUGUGCUUCUCAUCAUGCUAAAAACACCUCUGUUCAAUCUGUGUACUGAGCCCUCCGGAUUGAAGAAAUUGUGCCUUUUAACCUAAACCUAUAUCUUUCACUAGAUCUCAAAGGCAUGUGUCUUCUUCUGUUGUCUAACAAACACCUGUCAACUACUUUUUCUCAUAUUAAUGCACAUUCUUUUGUAAACUGAAGUUCACAUAAGCUUCAAGAAAUCAAGAGUCCUAAGACAUGGACCUGUCUGUCACAGAUCAAAUGGACUUCAGAUAAGUACACUGCCUGUUCUGAUCUAAUCCAGCAGGUGGCCCCAAAUAGAAAGUAUAUACAUUGAAUGUGAUUUAUAUAUGUUAAU
rnacentral:sRNA from 1 species